GGGAUUGUGGCUCAGAGGUAGAGUGCUUGCCUAGCACGCGUGAGGUUCUGGGUUUGAUCCUCAGCACCA
rfam:Ictidomys tridecemlineatus contig005810, whole genome shotgun sequence.